rnacentral:tRNA from 1 species
GCCCGGAUGGCGGAAUUGGUAGACGCAAGGGACUUAAAAUCCCUCGCCGCAAGGCAUCCGGGUUCGACUCCCGGUCCGGGCACCA